rnacentral:tRNA from 1 species
AGGGUAAUAGUUAAGUAUAACAUUUAAUUUGCAUUUAAAAAGUAUUGAAAUUAAUUUUCAAUUUACCUUA